rnacentral:rRNA from 1 species
UUAGGAAUCUUGGGCAAUGGGCGCAAGCCUGACCCAGCAACGCCGCGUGGGCGACGAAGCCCUUCGGGGUGUAAAGCCCUUUUCCGGGGGACGAAUCUGACGGUACCCCGGGAAGAAGCCCCGGCUAACUACGUGCCAGCAGCCGCGGUAAUACGUAGGGGGCGAGCGUUGUCCGGAAUCAUUGGGCGUAAAGCGCGCGCAGGCGGCCUGCAGAGCCCGGCGUGAAAGCCCCCGGCUCAACCGGGGGAGGCCGUCGGGGACCUGUGGGCUGGAGGCCGGCAGGGGAGAGCGGAAUUCCCGGUGUAGUGGUGGAAUGCGUAGAGAUCGGGAGGAACACCAGUGGCGAAGGCGGCUCUCUGGGCCGGUCCUGACGCUCAGGCGCGAAAGCGUGGGGAGCGAUCCGG